AUAUUGCGCAAUGGAGGGAACUCUGACGCAGCGACGCCGCGUGAGCGAUGAAGGUCUUCGCAUCGUAAAGCUCUGUCCUUGGGGAAGAAGGUCUUCGGACUUGCCGGGACCUAAGGAGGCAGUACACGCCAACUACGUGCCAUCAGCCGCGGUAAUACGUAGGGGGCAAGCGUUGUCCGGAAUCAUUGGGCGUAAAGCGUGCGUAGGCGGCCUAUUAAGUAAGAUGUGAAAGGCCACGGCUUAACCGUGGGACUGGAUUUGAAACUGGAGGGCUUGAGUAUCGGAGAGGGUAGUGGAAUGCCCAGUGUAGCGGUGGAAUGCGUAGAUAUUGGGAGGAACACCAGUGGCGAAGGCGACUACCUGGACGAAAACUGACGCUGAGGCACGAAAGCUAGGGGAGCAAAC
rnacentral:rRNA from 1 species